rnacentral:lncRNA from 1 species
UUUGCACUCAACACCAACCAGAUAAGCCUUCUCUUGAAAUAUCUGCAGGUAGCCAGGUCCACAGGUUCAGAAAUCAGACAUGAUGAAACUGGCAGGUAACACCAACUCACAGCUCUAUUGUUCAUGUCACGGCCCAAAAUAUCUAGCGGGGAUGUAACAAUCAAAAGUUCUCUCCGGUGAAUUUGAUGGAUCGCUGCAGGUUAUCAUAUUCUCCACACGCUGAGUAGAAACCGCCCAAUCUGUCAAACAGGCCGGCGCCAAGCGGGCCUGUCGGAGCAACAAAAGCAAGCAGCUGAAGCUACGCAAUCC